rnacentral:rRNA from 1 species
GUGGGGAAUCUUGCGCAAUGGGCGAAAGCCUGACGCAGCAACGCCGCGUGCGGGAAGAAGGCUCUCGGGUUGUAAACCGCUUUCAGCAGGAACGAAAAUGACGGUACUUGCAGAAGAAGGUGCGGCCAACUACGUGCCAGCAGCCGCGGUGACACGUAGGCACCAAGCGUUGUCCGGAUUUAUUGGGCGUAAAGAGCUCGUAGGCGGUUCGGUAAGUCGGGUGUGAAAACUUUGGGCUCAACCCAAAGCCUGCAUCUGAUACUGCUGUGACUAGAGUUCGGUAGGGGAGCGGGGAAUUCCUAGUGUAGCGGUGAAAUGCGCAGAUAUUAGGAGGAACACCGGUGGCGAAGGCGCCGCUCUGGGCCGAUACUGACGCUGAGGAGCGAAAGCGUGGGUAGCAAACAGGAUUAGAAACCCUAGUAGUCC